rnacentral:lncRNA from 1 species
ACUCCAACCCUAUUUUUAAGGGAGACUCUUCUCUCUUCCCCCACCAAAGAAAUCAGAAGCCAAAACGACGAGGAUCGCUGGAAAUCGCUCGUGAAAGCCGUCACCGUGCUCACCUCGAUUUCUCGCCGGAGAGGUCACCGGAGCUCGAGAUAAGCCCCGACUUCUCUUCCUCUUUUCUCCCCCAUCCUUCCUUUGCCUGUGUGC